rnacentral:misc_RNA from 1 species
GUUCGUUCAGUCACGAUUAAGUACAACAUUCUGGAACUUCCUAAUUGAACCUACAUUUAGCAUACACCAAAUUCUUUUCCAUCAAAAGCACUCUCUAAAGCAACAUUGAAAAUGUUCCAUAACACCUAAGCCAUAGUUUCUGUCAGUGCAUGUGAAAAUGUUGUCCACUCACUAAAAGACAAAAUUACACCAUAGCAGCUUAUUGAAAA